rnacentral:tRNA from 1 species
AAUCAAUGAACUUGUAUAAGUGUAUGUUUUGAAAACAUAAAAAAGAAAUAAUAACUUUCUAUUGAUUU